rnacentral:rRNA from 1 species
CAGCAGUGGGGAAUAUUGCACAAUGGGCGCAAGCCUGAUGCAGCCAUGCCGCGUGUGUGAAGAAGGCCUUCGGGUUGUAAAGCACUUUCAGUCGUGAGGAAGGUAGUGUAGUUAAUAGCUGCAUUAUUUGACGUUAGCGACAGAAGAAGCACCGGCUAACUCCGUGCCAGCAGCCGCGGUAAUACGGAGGGUGCGAGCGUUAAUCGGAAUUACUGGGCGUAAAGCGCAUGCAGGUGGUUUGUUAAGUCAGAUGUGAAAGCCCGGGGCUCAACCUCGGAAUAGCAUUUGAAACUGGCAGACUAGAGUACUGUAGAGGGGGUAGAAUUUCAGGUGUAGCGGUGAAAAUGCGUAGAGAUCUGAAGGAAUACCGGUGGCGAAGGCGGCCCCCUGGACAGAUACUGACACUCAGAUGCGAAAGCGUGGGGAGCAAACAGGAUUAGAUACCCUGGUAG